rnacentral:lncRNA from 1 species
GGUCGUCUGGCUGUAGAAGGUAGUAUAGAGAUUCGCCAAUAUUCAAGUAGUUUAUCGGUUUUUGACUGUUGGAAUAUAAACAACUGCAAGAAUACAACGUAAAUCUAUACUGACUGUCUUAUUAGAUUAACCCAAUAAAUUUCAUUCACUCCGCAUACUCAAUCCUAUAGACACCCUUUUAACUCUUCAUCACAGACGUAACUCGAUUUCACAAAACAGUCAAGAGUAAUCAAAUCCACUUCAUUAAAAAUCCUGAUUCACCAUUACAACACUGACUUCAGCAACGAUUGCCUUAGUCUUCCCAAAACCCUAUGAAGAAAAAAAAACCCAAUUCUCUGUCUUUUUUCCCUGUCCAAAGCAUGAAGCUAGCUCUCCGAUUCUUCAAAAAUUCCCCAAAGAACUUGUUCUCUCCCCUC